rnacentral:rRNA from 1 species
UACGGAGGGUGCAAGCGUUAAUCGGAAUUACUGGGCGUAAAGGGUGCGUAGGCGGAUAUGUAAGUCAGAUGUGAAAUUCCAGGGCUCAACCCUGGAGCUGCAUCUGAAACUGUGUAUCUAGCAGGAUGGCGGAGAAAACGGAAUUCCACGUGUAGCGGUGAAAUGCGUAGAUAUGUGGAAGAACACCUGUGGCGAAAGCGGUUUUCUAGCCUACCCUGGACGCUGAGGCACGAAAGCAAGGGGAGCAAACAGG